ACUUUGCUGACGAGCGGCGGACGGGUGAGUAAUGCUUGGGAACAUGCCUUGAGGUGGGGGACAACAGUUGGAAACGACUGCUAAUACCGCAUAAUGUCUACGGACCAAAGGGGGCUUCGGCUCUCGCCUUUAGAUUGGCCCAAGUGGGAUUAGCUAGUUGGUGAGGUAAUGGCUCACCAAGGCGACGAUCCCUAGCUGGUUUGAGAGGAUGAUCAGCCACACUGGGACUGAGACACGGCCCAGACUCCUACGGGAGGCAGCAGUGGGGAAUAUUGCACAAUGGGCGCAAGCCUGAUGCACCCAUGCCGCGUGUGUGAAGAAGGCCUUCGGGUUGUAAAGCACUUUCAGUCAGGAGGAAAGGUUAGUAGUUAAUACCUGCUAGCUGUGACGUUACUGACAGAAGAAGCACCGGCUAACUCCGUGCCAGCAGCCGCGGUAAUACGGAGGGUGCGAGCGUUAAUCGGAAUUACUGGGCGUAAAGCGUACGCAGGCGGUUUGUUAAGCGAGAUGUGAAAGCCCCGGGCUCAACCUGGGAACUGCAUUUCGAACUGGCAAACUAGAGUGUGAUAGAGGGUGGUAGAAUUUCAGGUGUAGCGGUGAA
rnacentral:rRNA from 1 species